rnacentral:rRNA from 1 species
AUGAUCCUGGCUCAGGAAAUCGUAACUAGGUAACCACAAGAGUUUUUUCCCCCCCUCGGGUGCGUAACGCGUGAGCAACCUACCCAUAUCAGGGGGAUAGCCUCUCGAAAGAGAGAUUAACACCGCAUAACAUCAUUUACCGGCAUCGGAUUAUGAUCAAAUAUUUAUAGGAUAUGGAUGGGCUCGCGUGACAUUAGCUAGUUGGAGGGGUAACGGCCCACCAAGGCUACGAUGUCUAGGGGCUCUGAGAGGAGAAUCCCCCACACUGGUACUGAGACACGGACCAGACUCCUACGGGAGGCAGCAGUAAGGAAUAUUGGUCAAUGGAGGGAACUCUGAACCAGCCAUGCCGCGUGCAGGAUGACUGCCCUAUGGGUUGUAAACUGCUUUUGUCAGGGAAUAAACCUUUCCACGUGUGGGAAGCUGAAUGUACCUGAAGAAUAAGGAUCGGCUAACUCCGUGCCAGCAGCCGCGGUAAUACGGAGGAUCCAAGCGUUAUCCGGAUUUAUUGGGUUUAAAGGGUGCGUAGGCGGUCCUAUAAGUCAGUGGUGAAAGACGGCAGCUUAACUGUCGCAGUGCCUUUGAUACUGUAGGACUUGAAUCUAUUUGAAGUGGGCGGAAUAAGACAAGUAGCGGUGAAAUGCAUAGAUAUGUCUUAGAACUCCGAUUGCGAAGGCAGCUCACUAAGUUAGUAUUGACGCUGAUGCACGAAAGCGUGGGGAUCAAACAGGAUUAGAUACCCUGGUAGUCCACGCCCUAAACGAUGAUAACUCGAUGUUUGCGAUACACAGUAAGCGUCCAAGCGAAAGCGUUAAGUUAUCCACCUGGGGAGUACGGUCGCAAGAUUGAAACUCAAAGGAAUUGACGGGGGCCCGCACAAGCGGAGGAGCAUGUGGUUUAUUUCGAUGAUACGCGAGGAACCUUACCCGGGCUUGAAAGUUAGUGAAUGAUCCAGAGACGGAUCAGUCCUUCGGGACACGAAACUAGUGCUGCAUGGCUGUCGUCAGCUCGUGCCGUGGAGGUGUUGGGUUAAGUCCCGCAACGAGCGCAA